UACAGAGGUCUCAAGCGUUGUUCGGAUUCAUUGGGCGUAAAGGGUGCGUAGGUGGUGAUGCAAGUCUGGUGUGAAAUCUCGGAGCUCAACUCCGAAAUUGCACCGGAUACUGCGUGACUCGAGGACUGUAGAGGAGAUCGGAAUUCACGGUGUAGCAGUGAAAUGCGUAGAUAUCGUGAGGAAGACCAGUUGCGAAGGCGGAUCUCUGGGCAGUUCCUGACACUGAGGCACGAAGGCCAGGGGAGCAAAC
rnacentral:rRNA from 1 species